CCUACGGGAGGCAGCAGUGGGGAAUAUUGCACAAUGGGGGAAACCCUGAUGCAGCGAAGCCGCGUGAGUGAAGACGUAUUUCGGUAUGUAAAGCUCUGUUAGCAGGGAAGAAAAUGACGGUACCUGACCAAGAAGCCCCGGCUAACUACGUGCCAGCAGCCGCGGUAAUACGUAGGGGGCCAGCGUUAUCCGGAUUUACUGGGUGUAAAGGGAGCGUAGACGGCAGGGCAAGUCUGGAGUGAAAGGCGGGGGCUCAACCCCCGGACUGCUCUGGAAACUGGCAGGCUGGAGUGCAGGAGAGGUAAGUGGAAUUCCUGGUGUAGCGGUGAAAUGCGUAGAUAUUAGGAGGAACACCAGUGGCGAAGGCGGCUUACUGGACUGUAACUGACGUUGAGGCUCGAAAGCGUGGGGAGCAAACAGGAUUAGAUACCCUAGUAGUC
rnacentral:rRNA from 1 species